rnacentral:rRNA from 1 species
CGUCCUACGGGAGGCAGCAGUGGGGAAUCUUCACAAUGGACGCAAGCCUGAUCCAGCAACGCCGCGGAGCAAGAAGGCGUUCGGGUGUAAAGCUCUGUUUGAGGGAAGAACAAGUCGGGAUACCCGCCGGACUUGACGGUACACAGAAAAGCAAGCUACACG